AGCCAUCCCCCUUUCUUUCAAAUUCUCAUCACAUGUCUCAUCAUCUGUGUCUAGAAGCUAUAGUGCUCAUAGUAGUAGUAGAAGUCUCUUUGAGUCUAACACUUACCUAACUUGAGUUCACAAAAACAAACAGGACUUAAAUAUCUACCAACAAUGGAUAAUGAGAAUACUUACUCUACUACUACUACUACUACUUCCUCCACAAAAGCAGCUUCAAGCAUGAAGAAGAAGUUCUUGAAGGCUUCUAAGGAACAAAGGUCAAGGCUCUACAUACUAAAGAGGUGUAUUAUUAUGUUACUGUGUUGGCACAAGUACGAGCAGUAGUAGUAUAUAUAUAAGUGUAUAAGUAUAACUUUAUAUUAUUGCAAAAUAUAUAUAUCUCAAUCUAUACUUUUAGCAGGUGAUGAUGGAUACCAUCAUUAUUAAUACACACCAACCCCACUGUAUUUACUACUUAAGGUAACCCCUUCAAGUUUGUUAGUAUAUCUGUAUAUGUAUGUAGCAAUCACAAUGUUAUGUGUAAUUAAUUACUAUGGGGGGUUCUGUUAAUUAAUGAAUCAUAAUCAUCUCUUGGCUACCUAGCUAGCUGCCUAUAGCUAGAUCCCGUGACCAUAUAUGCAUCUUCGGCAUAUUAAAGAACAUACUAUGUUUGUUCAAAUUAAUAUACUAGGAUUAUUAUUAAGUAGAAUGAUGAGAGGCGUUGCAGGCAGGGUUUGAAGGAACUUUACUCUGGUAAAAGAGGCAACAGUGAAUUGAGGUUGUUUUUUAGUGUAAAAGAAGAUGAAACUUGAAAGGAAUAGACACCAUUUCACAUGAGGAUAGGGACAAGUACAGAGGUAGUUUUGGACAAGAAUAAGGCUUGCCCAGUUUUCUGCUUACUUUUUGCCAGUUAUAAUAAUAACAUUUGC
rnacentral:lncRNA from 1 species